rnacentral:lncRNA from 1 species
GGAAAAACAUUCCCGACUCUCGACCCCAGGACUGGGGAGGUAAUUGCACAUGUUGCUGAAGGUGAUGCAGAAGAUAUAAAUCGGGCAGUAGCUGCUGCUCGUAAGGCUUUUGACGAAGGACCAUGGCCUAAAAUGAAUGCUUAUGUAUCCACUUCUUAUCUCUCAGCACAGUCUUAUGCUCUGUUAAUGGUUGUGUAUGCCACAUUAUGCCUAAUUCUCCAUCUUUCAUAACUGCAGGAAAGGUCAAAGAUAUUGUUGCGCCUUGCUGAUCUGAUCGAAAAACAUAACGAUCAAGUUGCAACGCUCGAGACUUGGGAUACUGGGAAACUAUAUGAACAGGCUUCUAAGAUUGAAGUACCAAUGGUUGUACGUCUACUCCGUUAUUAUGCUGGUAAGUCAGAAAGCCAACUGAGAAAGCAAGUAUAUCAACACUUAUUUCGUGUCCCUGAAAAUAUUAAUGAUCUCCUAUUGGUUCUGCAGGCCGGACAGAUAAAAUUCACGAUAUGACUAUUCCUGCUGAUGGACCAUAUCAUGUUCAAACGUUGCAUGAACCAAUUGAAGUUGCGGGUCAGAUUAUUCCAUGGAAUUUUCCUCUUCUCAUGUUUUCUUGGAAGAUUGGACAUGCUUUAGCUUGUGGCAACACUGUCGUGCUAAAGACAGCUGAGCAGACACCAUUAUCUGCAUUCUAUGUAGCACAUCUAUUACAGGAGGUAGUAUCCAAAUUUCCAUUACUUCUAAUACUAUAGUCACUAAAGUAGUAUCCAAAUUUCCAUUACUUCUAAUACUAUAGUCACUAAAGUAUUUCUUCUGUUUCCAUGAGUUUAUCGUGUUAUAUAAUCAGAAACUGAAGUAUAUACUAAUUGAAGAGGAAUUGCAACAACUCUUUUUCUUUUUAACACAUUGUUAUUGCUACUUUCUACAAGUUAUCCAUUGUAUGGAAUAUCUCUAAUACUUGGUUAUUAUUAACAGGCUGGGCUGCCUGAAGGUGUUUUGAAUAUCAGUUCUGGUUUCGGGCUGCCUGAACGACUUGUCCAGAUUACAAGAAGCCCGUACUUAAGGGACUCUAUUCCCAACAGCCAUCAUCAGUGGAAGAAGACAUGACAAGGUAACUUUUUUGGUAAUUUUAUUAAUGUUGAUACCGUGUACUUUUUAUAUCUCUCUUCAUUUGCAGUAGUGGAUCGUGUGGAUAUGAGUUGAACCUCAACUCUUGCAAUCGCAAUACUACAGUCAUUGGAUCAAAGUAUGGGAAAACAAUGAGGAGAGGGGUACUCUCAUUUUUUUGCAUUGAUGAGAGCAGAUUUACUCAGAUAAGUAAACUUAGAUGCUCACCUUAUUUUAGGUCCAAAAACUCGUGGGGUUUCUUUAAACAACAUACUAAACUUUUGUGUCGCAAUUGUAGUAGCUGCUAUGUUUUUGUGGUCGUUGAUUUUUGUAAUUAUUAUACUAGCAUGUAUUGCCACUUCUAACCAAGGGGUUAUGAGUUCGAGUCACCCCAAGAGCAAGGUGGGGAGUUCUUGGUGGGAAGGAUACUGAGGGUCUAUUUGGAAACAGCCUCUCUACCCGUGGUAGGGGUAAGGUCUGCGUACACACUACCCUCCCAGUCCCUACUAGUGGGAUUAUACGGGGUUGUUGUUGUUGUUGUUCAUUUGCAGUAGUGACUUGUGUCUUUAUUGUUUCAGGUUUAUGAGCUGGUAGGUCUAACUGAACUCUAUUAUGCCGGUAGCCAUGGUAUGGACAUCAUGCUGCCAGUCAAAAAUAUGUCGUCUACUAACGAUUCAAAGUGUAUUAAAUCUACUGAUCAGCAGGUAUUAUAUUAGCUGCAUUAUCAGACUCUAUCCUUUCAUUCUGUUGUAAACAUUGCUAUCUAGUUCAAUUUCUGACUUACUUUCCCAAUUUCCUAACUAAUCUUGCAAUUUCUUUUUGAGCAGGGCAAGGAAAUUAAUAUGUUCCAGCCUGCUCGUAAAUUUUUACCCAUGAUUGAUGAGGUAGGUGCUUUAGAAGGUUUCUCUAAAAAGCAUUUCAAACCAGUAUAUGACUCUUUCUUUCAGCCGGAAAAGAAAAAAAGGUAAUUUAAGACGUGAACUUAACUUGUUUGACUACUUUGCAGGUUUUUAAAACCCUUGUCGAGAAAACUAAAGACAUUAAGGGUGCGAAGGUUGAGCACCAUAAGUUUUGUGCCUCUGUACAUUACCGUAAUGUAGAUGAAAAUGUGAGUGCCAACUUUUCUUGUUGCUUUUUCUUAAUGUCAACUGGAUGCUGGAGUUGCCCAUGUUAACAAAAGAACGGACAUCUAAUGAUCUUCAUUUUGACCACAGAAUUGGCCAGUCGUUGCAUAAUACAUCCAUGAUGUCUUGAAAGACUACCCUCGGCUACGGCUAACUCAUGGGUGGAAGGUAACUUGAUGUACCUAUCUUUGUCUCCGUUUCAAUUCCUGGCCACUGCAACAUUAUAAUAAUGAUAUAAUUAACGCUAUACGUGUGCAAACGGACUUCUUUUCCUUUUAAAUCCUAUAACAGGAUUAAUUUGAUGUGUUGUUCUUUUUUUUAGUAGCUUGCAUGUACAUUUAAUGUCCAAAUUUGGGUCUAGAUAAGGUGUUUCUGUAGAAGAGCUAGGCUCAUGACUAGCAUCUUGUAUGUCCAUUAUUUUCUUUUUCUUUUUGGAUCAAUUUAUUUAGUCUAGGCAUUCCAGAUGAAAGGUAAUGACUUUAUUUAUCCUCUUUUGUAGGUGGAGUAGAUGAAGAAAUAGAAGAUGAAUGCAAUGAAGAUCUAGACCUUACUUGAGAUGAAUUUUGAAUUGCUAUAGAUGAAUGUUCUAAGAAUCUUUUGUUGUUAACAUUUUGAAACUUACUAUCUUGAAAUGUAUUAAACUUAUGCACUUGGGGUAGAACAUUUGCUUUUAUGGAUAUUAUUAGCUUGUUGGACGAGUUAUAUUAUUAAUAGUUUCAUUUUGUGAUUUAUUUAAA